GAUGAACGCUGGCGGCGUGCGUAACACAUGCAAGUCGAACGAACCUGAUCUUCGGAAAGGGUUAGUGGCGGAUGGGUGAGUAACACGUAGGUGACCUGCCCUGGCAAGGGGGAUAACUACUGGAAACGGUAGCUAAUACCCCGUACGAUCACCGGGUCGGACUGGUGAUGAAAGGCGAAAGCCGUGCUGGGAGGGGCCUGCGGCCCAUCAGGUAGUUGGUGGGGUAAAGGCCUACCAAGCCGAUGACGGGUAGCUGGUCUGAGAGGAUGGUCAGCCACACUGGAACUGAAACACGGUCCAGACUCCUACGGGUGGCUG
rnacentral:rRNA from 1 species